GCUUGCUCUGGCUUUUCAGGGAGGUGGGAGAAGGGACGGAGGGCAACCCAUCAGUCCCUUCUCCCACCUCCCGGAAAAGCCAGCAAGAGCCG